UGUUUAAAUAUCUCUUAAAAAUUUUGAGCAGUCAAAUAUACUGAAUUUGGUUGUCAGUUGCUUGCCAAAGUUUUAACUUAAUUAUUUCAGUCUGUCCUUAGCUCUUGGUACAUGAGAGGCAUUCAAAUGUUCGAUUUAUUUUCAUGCGAAGUUGCCAUUCGGCAAUGGUUUUGACUAUAAUAACUGUAGAGUGGAGACGUUCGAUUCUAGAAGCUCCAAUUGUAUCUGUCCUUUGCAAAUAUUCUUGAUUAGUGGGCAUAAUUUGUUAAUCUGUUGUGAAAUUGUGAUGCUGUCUGACCUUACUUUGAAAGGCUAGAGAUUUUGUGGAGUCCUUGCAUGAGAGAUGUUUCAUGUGCUAUGUUUGUGUGUAUAUAAUUCAGGGAUAUUGAAAUUGUAAAUAAUUGUUUGAGAUCUUCCAUGAGUAAUCAAGAUUGCAUGAAAUUGUAAUAAGGUAGUUGUGAUGUCUGCUAAAUUGGCAUGAUGUUCAGAUAUUGAAUCUUAAAUGUACACAGUACAUAUUUGUGUCAAUCUUAAGUUGUUGUAUGUCAGUUUCUCUGUAUUUUUCAAUAUCUCAUAUUGAGUAUGGACCUUAUGUGAUCAUCUUGCAAUUCACAAGUGGCUUUCAUUGCAUGCUUAACGUUUUUGGGAUUUCUAGAAGAAAGGAAAUUGAAUCAUUUCAUUCUUGAUGGUUAAUUUGGCAAUAUAAUUCUGCAUGAUCAGAUAUUGCUA
rnacentral:misc_RNA from 1 species